rnacentral:rRNA from 1 species
AUUGAACGCUGGCGGCAGGCUUAACACAUGCAAGUCGAGCGGUAACAGAGAGAAGCUUGCUUCUCUGCUGACGAGCGGCGGACGGGUGAGUAAUGCCUAGGAAUCUGCCUAGUAGUGGGGGAUAACUUGCCGAAAGGUAAGCUAAUACCGCAUACGUCCUACGGGAGAAAGGAGGGGACCUUCGGGCCUUUCGCUAUUAGAUGAGCCUAGGUCGGAUUAGUUAGUUGGGGAGGUAAUGGCUCACCAAGACCGCGAUCCGAAACUGGUCUGAGGGGAUGAUCGGUCACACUGGAACUGAGACACGGUCCAGACUCCUACGGGAGGCAGCAGUGGGGAAUAUUGGACAAUGGGGGGAACCCUGAUCCAGCCAUGCCGCGUGUGUGAAGAAGGUCUUAGGAUUGUAAAGCACUUUAAGUUGGGAGGAAGAGCAGUUAACUAAUAUUUGACUGUUUUGACGUUACCGACAGAAUAAGCACCGGCUAACUUCGUGCCAGCCGCCGCCGUAA